UGCAAAAGAAAAACAGUCUGGGUGCCUUGACUUACACACAUUUUCUUGGUCAGUGCAUUCUGGUCAGCUGCUUUUUUUGCGUUCAUUGAGAAUUCCAGUGAGAUUCUCUGUUGUUCCCAAACCGAUACCAGUUCCUAUCUGCUUUACCAGAUCCUGUCCAGAAGACAAUGCUUUGUUUUGUUUUGUUUUGUUUCAGGAGCUUCCAGUUUCCAGCUUCCACCUCUUCUUGUGACCAGUAAAGAGCUACAGCAGCUAAGAAAUGCCUCACUAAUUUUAAACAGGACUGGAAGAAAGGAAAUGUUCCAUCUGGUCUUUGCAGUGCAAUGUUUAAGGCUGGGCAAGUCUUUUUCUUGUUUUUCUUUCUGAGCCUCAGUUUCUCCUUCUAUAAAGUGGGAAUAAUUUUGUGGCAAAGUAGGAGUUAGGGAAUUAGCCAGUGUAUGGGUUAGUUGACAUAUAAUGGGCCUACUGUGAGGGAAUGUGUAGCGACUUAUGUAUGGACUACAGGGAAUUAUGAAAUGGAGCUCCACCUUUCCCCUUAGCUCCUAUUUUGUUCUGUGGAAGUUUUUUCUCACUCUGUUUGUGAUGCUGUUAAAUGAAGCUUGCAGUAACAUGAGUACGGACUUUGUUUCUGCUGAGCUGAGUGAUGUUGACUUUGCAAAAAAUAGCGAUACCUGUAAUGAAGAACUCUGAAAGUCCAUGGUACCAUGAUGCUGUCUUAUAUUAUGGAAAGCAUAUAGGAUGAUUAGUUAUAUCAUUAAAGCCCUAUAGAGGUAAUUAUUUAUCUCAUACACAUGCAGUUUUAAAGCACUUGCAAGCAAUGGAGACUUUGCAGGAAUAGUAGAGGUAUUUGGAUUUGCACAGUACCUAAUGCUGUGCAGCCCCAAGCCACGAGUGAGGGGAUAUAGCCACGCAGUGCUCUUCCCUGGAGGGAAGCUGUAUUUUCCAGCAGAUACCUUCCUUUUUUACCCUCUCCCUUCCCAUGCAGAUGAAUCAGCUCCUCUCAGAUAUAGAAGUCAUCAUCGUUUGGUUGCUGUGAUGAAGGAGGCAGAGCCAUUUGGAAAUUGCUCUGCGUUGGAGCAGAAACGGAGUUCUCCCAGCUCUUUGCAAAACAUGAAUCAUGGUGGUGUGGGGGCUUCUGGAUACAUUUAAAAAUGUUGGGGCUGCACAGUGUCACCACGGCAGAGAAGAAAGGGCCCUUCUUGCUGUGAGACGCCUCUCUAACUUGCUAGCAGUCACACAAGUUGCAGUCCUGAGCCUACGUGCCCUGUAUUUCUGACUGCGGAGAGGCCUUGUGCUGGGAAGGGAGCUGCACCGUAAAUCAUUCUUACACGUUAACAGGGAGUGUUUUUUCUCACCAAUAAUUAUGGUUGCGCCUUUAGUGGAGAAGGUUGUUUGGGGCAGUAAAUUAUGCUGUGGGUUAUCUCUGUGUCGCUCGCUCGCUCUCUUUUUUU
rnacentral:lncRNA from 1 species